rnacentral:lncRNA from 1 species
GUGACGUAAUUCAGCCGUACAAAGGAACAAAGUGGAUCAUGCCUGGCAAUAUCUACCACAAGCACCCCGACUACGAAAGCUAUGAUCACAGACUGGAUUCAUUCAACGGAUGGGCACAGGGAGAUAAAGUUCAACCUGAAGAACUCGCCUCUGCGGGGCUUUUUACACAGGACCACACGAUUUUGUUAAGUGUUUUUCAUGUGGUACUGGGAUACGUAACUGGGAACACGGUGAUGACCCCUGGAUAGUGCAUGCACAGUCGCUUCCGAAGUGUAACUAUGUUACAGAAGUUAAAGGAUCCGAGUUCAUCGAUGCACAUGCGGGACAAAAUGUCGAACAUCCAAAUGCCGAGGAAGAGGCAGAGGAUAACGCACCUAACGGUUUGAUGCCUUGCCGAGUGUGUAUGAACAAGAAUUCAAACAUGGUGUUCAUACCAUGUAGCCACAUGGUCACAUGUGAAACUUGUGCUCCAGAAAUCGGUCAGUGUGUUGUGUGUGAAGCUCCUAUAAUUGAACGCAUAAGAGCGUAUAUGCCAUAUAUGCCAUGAUUACGAACUGAUACAAUUUACUGAACUGAGUAAAUAGAUGCAUCGACAUAGGUAGAACGAGAAGUAACAUUUUCAUCUCCUUUACGAUUUUAUGAGCUAUGUUUUAAAAGAUUAUCGAUUUGAAUAAAUAAAGGAAGAAAAACUUUAA